GGUGACCUGGCGUGGCCGGAAGAGAGUAUGCACGAGGUUAUACUUUCUCGUUGCAAAGAUGUGGAAUGUGUUUAAGCAUUAGGAAUGAUGGAUGAUACUAUCAGUAUCCUCGCAUAGAAGUCAUGCAAACAGCCAUGAAACUACGAAAAAAUGGUGCCACCCUUUCAACUGUGCUAAACAUGACAGACACAGAGAUGGACCAGCUGGCCAACUUUCUUGGCCAUGAUUUUAGAAUCCAUCGUGAGUUCUAUAUAGACUCCCUGAAAAGACACUGCAGCUGGCAAAAAUGAACAAAGUUUUGAUGGCACUCGAGCAAGGUCGAUUAUCAGAGUUCCAUGGCAAGAACUUGAUGGAAUCACAAUUGCUCCAAUGAAAGUGUUGUGGAAACUGAAGAGGAAGAUCUUACCAGAGAGGACGAAAACUGUUCAUUUCUUGAUAACGAAGAGGGGGCCUUUCCAACCACUGAGGAGAAAGCAAUCCCAACCCCCAAGAGAUUGAAACGAAUUUCAAAAGAAGAUUAGGUAUUCUCAGGAGAUUGUGCAGUGAGACAUUCUUCCAAAGGUAAAGCUGCCUAGAAAAGAAGACCCUGGACACAGAAAGAGGUGAAGGCUGUCGAAGCACAUGAAGCGAUUCAUCCCUUCUGGUAUAGUAGCAGGAAAGAGUGACUGUUGAAAAUGUUUGAGGGCGAAACCGGAAGCUCUCCAAAACCGGGAAUGGCAGGCAUUGAAGUCUAUGUGUACAACCGCAUUACGGCCUACAAAAGGAGAUUGCAGGGUCUCCAGUAAGAAUGAUCAGCACAUUACUUCACCAAACUAGAGAUUUGAAGAUAUGUAUGAGCUAACCGGGCGGUGGCCAUUUUACCUCAUUUUUUAUGCCUCCACAACCUGUUGAAAGGGUGGUCCCCAUAAGUGAUGAUCAUUCAAAUGAUAACCUGUGUGUGUGUGUGUGUGUGUGUGUGCGUGCGUGCGCACGUGUGUGUGUGUGUGUGUGUGCAUGCGUGAUGUUGAAAUGUUUGUCUCAUGUAAUAAUACAAUACAGCUUGCAAGGAUGGAGGUCAUAGGUCAAGUGAACCUGCAGUCAUGUUAUGUUUGACAUUCUGACAUCACUUCAUGGCCUCAAUUAUCCUCUUCCAUGUGAUGUCAUCAGUCACAUGACUGUGAUUUGGGGCUGCAUGCAGGCAGACAAAGGGGAGGAGCUACGUGCUGCGCAGGCAGACGGAGUCAGAGAGGAUUUGACACAGAGGAAAGCAAAGCAGAUGUAUCAUGUACAGCCACACUUGGGGGUCCGCUUAGACAACGUGGCUGUCUUUACGGUCAUGUCUUUUAUUUUGUUCAUUAUUGUUGAAUUCAGUGUGUGUGUGUGGGUGUGUGUGUGUGUGUGUGACAGGCGCAUGGGACAAAUGGGAAAAUACGGAAGAAACCGCGCCCCGUAUUGGUUCAAUAUGGGAUGCAACAUUUUAGUUCCAAUUACAGGUUGAUUCCGUAUUUCACGGGGCGGGUGGUAACCCUAUUCACAUGCAUCUUUUCUGACGAUGCUAAUGCUGCAGUGUGCAUGCCAGGCCAGUAGGUGGUGAUGUCACUUUGUUUAUUAAAACAACGACUUCCACUUUGAAGUUGGCAAACAUUUACAGCUAUUUUGCUAACCGCAAACGGGAACACGUUUUGAUGUUAAAGACUUUUGUAUCAACAUGACAAACGUUUAAGUCAGGUUAACUUAAGUGUUGUGUACCACACUAAAAGAAUAUUUUAGUUUGCUCAAGGUCAACUCAAAGCUCCAAAGAUGUUACCGUGGCAACUAACACCCCAGCAACAGAGGCCACACUGGCCUGUCUGUGGAUCGUCGCCGUGGUUACGCCUGAGCAUUUGUUUGAAAGACAUUCAUCAUUCAUUCAAACUCUUUUUUUUUUCUCCCCCUUCUGACACUUUCUCCUGCUUGUGGACAUCAAGUUACGCCAAAACGUCUGCUUUUAUUUCACAUAAGCGGACUUUAAA